UUGGGGAGGUCGGCGCUGAGGCGGAGGCCGGUCCCUGUCCCGCUCCCUCAUCCGCAGCCCCGCGGGGCGCAGCUCUGCCCGCAGGGCCGACCCUCAGCGCCUGCUGCAGCCCCGCCGUGUCCCUGCGUGUCCCUCAGAGAGCUGGAGCCUUUGGGGGUUCAGCAGGGAGGCGGGAUGUGACCUGUUGCUGGAGGGCUGUGGUGCCUCUCAUCCCACGGAGACGUGCAUCCCACACGGAGGAUUCUCUGCAGCAUCCCGGAGCGAGGGGAUGCUCCAGAGGCCUCACGGAGAGCCGGGAUUGCCGGGGAGGAGCCGUGCGAUGCCCCAGCUGCCUCGUGCAGGGCUGGGAUAACCCGGGACGAGCCGCGGGAUGUGUCCCAGGAGCUUUGUGCAGGGCUGGGAUAACCUGGGCACACUCCUAGGGUUUGUCCCUCACCAGGUGAGUACCCUUGGGGUGUGACACAGCCAUCCGUGCCACAUUCCCAGCGGAUCCCGCCGUGUUUUUUGGGAUGCUCGGGGUCAAGCAUGGCUGGAAGGGGAUUUUUUACAGCAGGUGGAAGGAAGCGUCCAAGGGAACGCUGCUGGAACGCUGGAAGGGAUCGAGCCAACCAUGCCAGGCACUGCCUGCUGGAAAACUCAGUGUCUGUUGCCUUCUGGAAAAAUCCCAGAGGAUGGACAGGAACAGCCUCAGACUGCUGGAACUUUUCCUCCGUGGGCAGCAUUCCCAAGGAGGGGAAGCGCUGUGUCCGACCCCGCUGAGCUGCCAGAAGGGCUGAAAUCCAAGGAUUUAAAGUCCCCGGAGCGCUGCACAACCCCCAGAUCCCCUCCAACAGCUCCUCCGUGGAUAAACAGCCCCCCAAAGUCCACCUGUGGGGUGUCCAGAAGUUCUUUACAUAAAUUUUGGCCUUGGCACAGGAGCAGGAGACUCAGGCAGACCACAAGGAUCAGAAUUUAUUUUAGCUGGAGGUUCAUUGUGAUAUUUUUAGUAAUCCAGUCGCCAUCUGCCGGCAAACUCUGGCUCUUGGGUGGGAAUUUGGGGGAAAUUUGAGGAUUUAAGGGCAGGUUCUGUAAUUACCUGUGUGAAAAUUAAGGGGGGUGGGUUGGAUGCUGAAGGGGCGGUUAAUUUUUGAGUGAGGAAAAGGAAAUGCAAAUCCCACCACAAAAACUUUUGUAUGGCUCGGAGCUCAAAGAACAUUGGAGUGGUGAAUAUCUUGAAUAUAAAAGAGAAAGGUUUAAGAAAUUA